rnacentral:tRNA from 1 species
GGGGAAUUAGCUCAGCUGGGAGAGCACCUGCCUUGCAAGCAGGGGGUCAGCGGUUCGAUUCCGCUAUUCUCCA